GCGCAGCAGGCGCGAAAACUUCACACUGUGCGAAAGCACGAUGAGGGAAUCCCAAGUGCUUGCACGUAAGUGUAAGCUGUUUCUCUGUUUAAAACGCAGAGAGAGUAAGGGCUGGGUAAGACGGGUGCCAGCCGCCGCGGUAAUACCUGCAGCUCAAGUGGUGACCGUUAUUAUUGGGCUAAAACGUCGUAGCCGGUUUAAUAAAUGCCUGGGUAAAUCGUGUAGCUUAACUAUACGAAUUCCGGUAGACUGUUAAACUCGAGACCGGGAGAAGUUAGAGGUACUCCUGGGGUAGGGGUGAAAUCCUAUAAUCCCGGGAGGACCACCAGUGGCGAAGGCUGUCGGCUAGAACGCGCCCGACGGUGAGGGAUGAAAGCUGGGGGAGCGAACCGGAUUAGAUACCGCGUAGU
rnacentral:rRNA from 1 species